AGCUACUGACGAGUCCCAAAUAGGACGAAACGUGAGUCAAACUGGAU
rfam:Schistosoma haematobium scaffold142_15, whole genome shotgun sequence.